rnacentral:tRNA from 3 species
GCUGGCGUAGCUCAGAGGUAGAGCGGCUGCCUUGUAAGCAGCGGGUCGGGGGUUCGAAUCCUCUCGCCAGCUCCA